rnacentral:tRNA from 1 species
AGGGGCGUAGUUUAGUGGCAAAACAUCCGCCUCCAAAGCGGCUAAUGAGGGUUCGAUUCCUUCCGCCCCUGCCA